rnacentral:rRNA from 1 species
UACGAAGGGGGCUAGCGUUGCUCGGAUUGACUGGGCGUAAAGGGCGCGUAGGCGGUUCGUACAGUCAGACGUGAAAUUCCUGGGCUCAACCUGGGGGCUGCGUUUGAUACGUGCGGACUUGAGUGCGGAAGAGGGUCGUGGAAUUCCCAGUGUAGAGGUGAAAUUCGUAGAUAUUGGGAAGAACACCAGUGGCGAAGGCGGCUCACUGGCCCGGUACUGACGCUGAGGUGCGAAAGCGUGGGGAGCAAACAGG